rnacentral:rRNA from 1 species
CUGGCGGCGUGCCUAACACAUGCAAGUCGAGCGAGGAGAUUCCUCGGGAUGAUCCUAGCGGCGGACGGGUGAGUAACACGUGGGCAACCUGCCUCAUAGAGAGGAAUAGCCUUCCGAAAGGGAGAUUAAUACCUCAUAACAUUGCAGUUUCGCAUGGAACAGCAAUUAAAGGAGCAAUCCGCUAUGAGAUGGGCCCGCGGCGCAUUAGCUAGUUGGUGAGGUAACGGCUCACCAAGGCGACGAUGCGUAGCCGACCUGAGAGGGUGAUCGGCCACAUUGGGACUGAGACACGGCCCAGACUCUUACGGGAGGCAGCAGUGGGGAAUAUUGCACAAUGGGGGAAACCCUGAUGCAGCAACGCCGCGUGAGUGAUGACGGCCUUCGGGUUGUAAAGCUCUGUCUUCAGGGACGAUAAUGACGGUACCUGAGGAGGAAGCCACGGCUAACUACGUGCCAGCCGCCGC